rnacentral:lncRNA from 1 species
UGCCCAGUGGUGCAUCACUCCUCCCAACCCACUAGUGAGAAUAGCCACACAUCCCCACCUGGAUGCAAGUUGGACUGGGAAAUGUAGUCCCUGCCCAGGUGGACCCUUCUCAGCAGUGUCUCAGCACCAGCCCUCACAUCUGUCACCACCUUGCCAUCAUCAGCAUCCCCAUGUGAUCAGCAACACCAUGGCCACAUCAGCCACCAUGGUCCCUGUCCAAUCUUCUGUGACUCUUUAACAAGGCCCUUACUGGAUGAUGCUCAACUCAGGGCCUGGCCCUUAAUGACCUUCCCUGGGCAGAAGUGGCGGCAGUGGGAGCAGACCCAGCCCACUGUGGGGAGCAGGAAGGCACCAAAGAUGACCUCUGGC